GAUGAACGCUAGCGGCAGGCCUAAUACAUGCAAGUCGAACGAUAGAAGAGAGCUUGCUCUCUUCGAAAGUGGCGCACGGGUGCGUAACGCGUAUGCAACCUACCUUAAUCAGGGGGAUAGCCCGAAGAAAUUCGGAUUAACACCGCAUAAAAUCACAGUACAGCAUUGUACAAUGAUCAAAUAUUUAUAGGAUUAAGAUGGGCAUGCGUGACAUUAGCUAGUUGGCGGGGUAACGGGCCACCAAGGCGACGAUGGCUAGGGGAUCUGAGAGGAUGACCCCCCACACUGGGACUGAGACACGGACCAGACUCCUACGGGAGGCAGCAGUAAGGAAUAUUGGUCAAUGGAGGCAACUCUGAACCAGCCAUGCCGCGUGCAGGAAGACGGCCCUCUGGGUUGUAAACUGCUUUUAUUCGGGAAUAAACCUCAUUACGUGUAGUGAGCUGAAUGUACCGAAGGAAUAAGGAUCGGCUAACUCCGUGCCAGCAGCCGCCGUAA
rnacentral:rRNA from 1 species